UACGGGGGUGCGAGCGUUGUCCGGAAUCACUGGGCGUAAAGGGCGCGUAGGUGGCGUGAUAAGGGUGUGGUGAAAGCCCGGGGCUCAACCCCGGGUCGGCCAUGCCGGACUGUCAGGCUAGAGUGCUGUAGGGGCAGGCGGAAUUCCGGGUGUAGCGGUGGAAUGCGUAGAGAUCCGGAGGAAGACCGGUGGCGAAGGCGGCCUGCUGGGCAGUUACUGACACUGAGUGCGCGACAGCGUGGGGAGCAACAGG
rnacentral:rRNA from 1 species